rnacentral:rRNA from 1 species
UACCAGCACCCCGAGUGGUCGGGACGUUUAUUGGGCCUAAAGCAUCCGUAGCCGGUUCUACAAGUCUUCCGUUAAAUCCACCUGCUUAACAGAUGGGCUGCGGAAGAUACUAUAGAGCUAGGAGGCGGGAGAGGCAAGCGGUACUCGAUGGGUAGGGGUAAAAUCCGUUGAUCCAUUGAAGACCGCCAGUGGCGAAGGCGGCUUGCCAGAACGCGCUCAACGGUGAGGGAUGAAAGCUGGGGGAGCAAACCGG